GUGCUCACUUUGAUAGGAUAUACAGUAAAAUUGGAAUGAUACAGAGAAAAUUAGCAUGGCCCUUGAGCAAGGAUGACAUUCAUAUUUGUGAAGUGUUCCAUAUUUUG